AUGUGUAUAGUUAUAUUUAUCCAUCUCUGUAGUUAUAUUUCUAGAUUUAUACAGUUGUAUAGAUAUGUCUAGAUAGAUGAAUUUAAAGAUGUAUAGAGGUAAAUUUUUAUAUAUAUUUCUGUAUAUUGUUUUAUUUAUGUAUGCAUAGUUGUAUUUCUAGGUCUGCAUAGUUACAUUUUUAAAUGUGUACAGUUGCAUUUAUAUAUAUGCAGUUAAGUUUAUAAAUAGUUACAAGUGCACAGUUAUACAUUCAUAUAGUUAUGGGUAUAUGGAGCAUUAGGUACAUAGAUUGAUAUCUGUAUAGGUAUAGGCAGCUUUUUAACCUCUUUCCUGCUCUUCUUCCUCUCUCACCUCUUGUUUUUCCCCCUGUGCCCCCUCUGUCCCCUCCUCCUGUGCUGGCUCCGAGCUGGCGGCCGGGCCAGGCGGAGCAGCAGCUGCAGCCCCGGUGUCCCUGGAGCGGUGGGAGCUGCCGGUGGCCGCAGGCCCUGUGCCCUGAGGAGCUGCUGGAGGACGCUGCCCUGAAGACCUUCAGAAGAGCCGGAGAGAACCAGCAGGGAGAAGCUGAAGGCCGCCAGCAAGAGCAGCGAACGGGGACCUGCUGCUGCCGCCCGAGACCCUGGGUGUCCCAUCUGCUGUCCCCGUCCAGGAGAGCUGCUCUGCACGGGAGGAAGAGACCGAGGGAGAGGCUUUGAUGAUGGGGCGGCUGGAAUCCCUCUUCUUGUAUCUCUGUUUAAAGAUGUAUGGACUUGCUCAUAAGAUAGUGAUCAUUACAUGGAUAUUUAUAUGUAGGUUGCUAUUUGUAUAGGCAUAUUUGUAUAUGUAUGUUGUUAUAUUUAUGGG